CCCACUCCCUCCUUCACGCAG
rnacentral:miRNA from 1 species